rnacentral:lncRNA from 1 species
AAAAUCUUCUUGAAAAACAAGCCAAUUUUUCAAGAACAAGGAUCUUUUAGAAUUUUGCGAUUAAGAUCAAAACACACCAUGUUUUCCGACCUCCGCCAUCAACCACCACCACCGCCUCACUUCGCCGUCACCCACCACCUCGUCUCUACCUCCGAGGAAGCUGACAGCAAGAAAGAAUCCAACACCACCAAUGAUGAUGCAUCCAUUGAGGUGGUCCGGCGCCCUAGAGGUCGUCCACCCGGGUCCAAAAACAAACCAAGACCACCUGUUUUCGUUACUCGAGAACCCGACACCGCUAUGUCGCCAUACGUAUUGGAGGUUUCCGAUGGAUCGGAUA